CGGAGGCAGCAGUGGGGAAUUUUGCGCAAUGGGCGAAAGCCUGACGCAGCGACGCCGCGUGGAGGAUGAAGGCCCUUGGGUUGUAAACUCCUGUCAGGUGGGAAGAAAGAUCUUCGGUAAACAGCCGAGGAUUCUGACUGUACCACCGGAGGAAGCCCCGGCUAACUCUGUGCCAGCAGCCGCGGUAAUACAGAGGGGGCAAGCGUUGUUCGGAAUUAUUGGGCGUAAAGGGCGCGUAGGCGGCCAUCCAAGUCGGGUGUGAAAUCCCUCGGCUCAACCGAGGAACUGCACUCGAUACUGGUUGGCUCGAGUCCGGGAGGGGAUGGUGGAAUUCCCAGUGUAGCGGUGAAAUGCGUAGAUAUUGGGAAGAACACCGGUGGCGAAGGCGACCAUCUGGACCGGAACUGACGCUGAGGCGCGAAAGCCAGGGGAGCGAAUGGGAUUAGAUACCCCGGU
rnacentral:rRNA from 1 species